rnacentral:rRNA from 1 species
CCUACGGGAGGCUGCAGUGGGGAAUAUUUGGCAAUGGGCGCAAGCCUGACCCAGCAAUGCCGCGGGAAGGAAGAAGGCUUUCGGGUUGUAAACUUCUUUUAAGGGGGAAGAGCAGAAGACGGUACCCCUUGAAUAAGCCACGGCUAACUACGUGCCAGCAGCCGCGGUAAUACGUAGGUGGCAAGCGUUGUCCGGAUUUACUGGGUGUAAAGGGCGUGCAGCCGGAGAGACAAGUCAGAUGUGAAAUCCACGGGCUCAACCCGUGAACUGCAUUUGAAACUGUUUCCCUUGAGUGUCGGAGAGGUAAUCGGAAUUCCUUGUGUAGCGGUGAAAUGCGUAGAUAUACGGAGGAACACCAGUGGCGAAGGCGGAUUGCUGGACAGUAACUGACGCUGAGGCGCGAAAGCGUGGGGAGCAAACAGGAUUAGAUACCCGAGUAGUC